UCUUGAGAAGGUUUUCAUGUUGAAGCCAAUGAUUUGUAAUUACCUCCUCACGUGUCUUCUUUCUUCCCGAGCUUAUAAGGAGUGUGCUGUUGAUCUUAUUGGUGGGAUGGAAUCUUUGGGAUACCGUUUAAAUUCAGAAGAAUUUGCAACGACAUUGGCACUUUUAACACCAAUACUGAAAAGGAAAGAGAGGAAAAAUAACACUCAGAAAAGAUUAAAUUACACUGAUUGAAUUAGAUGACCGAGUUUCUUUAUGUGGUUCUUCAAUGAAUAUCCCCAGUUACGAAAAUGGUUGUGAAUCAAGAGACCACUACACUUUUUGAUGAACCAAAGGUGCCCUUUAUCCCUUCUGUAUAUGUUUUUUCUUGAAGCAGUCCUUAUGGGUAUAUUAAAUUUCAAAUAAUGUGUUUCCAGAGUUAUUGUAGAAUAGUACAAGGACCGAUUGAGAGGUAUAUCCUUGCAUGCUUCCUUUUAGAAUUUUACUUCAAACCAAGAAAUCACCCCCUAUUUCAAUUAGUAUCCCGUAUCCAAGUUCUGCAGUUUUAGGAUGGUGUUAUUUAUGUCGAUAAAUGACUUGAAUUCUCUUUACGAUGAAAAAUAGGAAAAGCAGGUGUUUUGUUUAACGCCUCCUAUUUUAUUUGCCUUUAUUUUUGUUCAUUUUGCAGCUAAAAUAUAUAAGCACUUACAACUUUUGAUCAAAUUAGGAACUUUGCAAAAGGCAAAAUAAUUGCACUGCUUUUGGACUAUGAUGGAACUUUUUCACCAAUUGUGGUUAAUCCUUACUGUGCUUUCAUGUCGGACAAUAUGUGUGCUGCUGUUAAAAAGGCCGCAGAGUAUUUUCCAACAACAAUAACUUGUCUAAGAAGUCAUGACAAGGUGCCGAUUGAAUUAAGCAGUACAAGAUAAAUGUUUAGGUACAUCAGUAGAGGAGUGUAUACCAGUGCUAGGAUUAGAACUAGAAUUAAAACAAGAGGCGGGACUGGCUUGAGCUGAUGGAUUGGAAGGAACUUGAGAUUUGGAAACUCAUAGAGGCCAUGUCUGCCAACUUGACCAUGACACUCAUGAGGUAUAGCAGGUUGAAACUGUUGAUUGAACCUAUGGUAACAAUAGGAUGCAAUGUGCCCAAACUCAAAACAGACCUGACACUGAAUAUUGCCAAAACGUCCUCCUCCACGACCACGACCUGAAUUAGGAUAACCAGAACCUGAAGGAGUAGAUUCAGAAGAGUGAGGCACAAUUUGGGAUACAGACAUGUCACCAGCAGAAGGUGCAGGCGUGAGAUUAACCGACACUGAAUCAGUGCUUGCAGCUUUCUUUAACUUUUGAAGAUGCGUUUCGUGAGCCAGACGUAUUGUUUUUCAAAUAUAUAUGAGUUUGAGGAGGUGAUUUUUCAGUCAUUGAGAUGAUUUAGAGGGUCAAUGAGGGUGGAUUUUAUUGAGAGGAGAGUGCUGAGUUGUUGUGGCAAAGAAAACUAGUGGUGGUAACUGUGUUUGGGAAAAGAAGGAGAAUGUGAAGAGAAAGGAAAAGGUUUCAUUGUUAAGAAAUAAGGAAGUUGGGUGGUGUUGAAAUUUGGGGCCAAACUCAUCCUUACAAAACCGAUUUGUAAGGUGAGGAGUGCCUCCUCUUUAUAAACUCUUCUCAAGAGUCCUAUCUAUCUGAUGUGGGACUAAAUCCACCCCCUCAAAGCCAACACAAUGAAGGUGUUGGAGGCUGCAAUGAAGGCCAACCAAAGGUCGCAAUUUAGGCGACUAGGGACGGACCUCAAUUAAGGCAGAAUUUCCAACAGGUGGGAACACAGUAAGAGAUUAAGAUGCAAUAUAUAUCUGACAUUGGAAGAGAAGGAGCAAAUAAUAAAGGAGAGAAAAAGUAAUGCUAGUCUCUAGUAACUUGGUUUAUAAACUCUUAUUUAGAUUUUUCUCUUUAUAUUUUACAUUUGAAUU